UNCUACUGCCUCUUUAGUUCUUAUUUCGAGA
rnacentral:piRNA from 1 species